GUGUGACCCGGCUGCCCUGCCCCUCGGAAGCCUCGCUCGCCCUCUGUGUGAACACAGCCUCCCUGGCUCUCGGCAGUCCAGAGACGUUUACCAACCCCCAGGUGACGUAAGAGAAAACCGGCUCAGAAGUCACCCACCCAGGGCAGUCACAAAGCAUGCAGCUGGGAUCUCCCCCUCACUGGGCGACUUCUGGGCCCUGCCCAACCCCACGCUCCACCCACCCCCAUCAGGCCUAGAUUGCAGGAGCACACCGGAGUUCCUUCCCUUCCCUGCCCUAAAACUCCAGACAGGCUUUUUAGAAGCCCAAAAUACAGGGCCGGGCCCAGUGUGUCCCUGGCAGGUCUGGAGUCCACCGCGGAACAGGUGGCCAGCUGCUGGUACUGUGGCCUGCGGCCGGGUCAGCAGCCCAGGAAGAGCACGCGGGGUGCGCCGUUGGGCUAAGUGGGUGCGGGAGGGGGCGGCAGGGCGCGGCUCGCUCUCUGAACAGCAGGGACAGCCACGGCUUCGGUGCUUCCUCUUACUAAACACUGGGGGGCCUGGGUGGCUCAGUCAGCUAAGCGGCCCGACUCUG